AUACGUAGGGUGCAAGCGUUAAUCGGAAUUACUGGGCGUAAAGCGUGCGCAGGCGGUUUUGUAAGACAGAGGUGAAAUCCCCGGGCUCCACCUGGGAACUGCCUUUGUGACUGCAAGGCUAGAGUACGGCAGAGGGGGAUGGAAUUCCGCGUGUAGCAGUGAAAUGCGUAGAUAUGCGGAGGAACACCGAUGGCGAAGGCAAUCCCCUUGGCCUGUACUGACGCUCAUGCACUAAAGCGUGGGGAGCAAACAGGAUUAGAUGCCCUGGUAGUCCACGCCCUAAACGAUGUCAACUGGUUGUUGGUUCUUCAUUGACUCAGUAACGAAGCUAACGCGUGAGGUUGACCGCCUGGGGAGUACGGCCGCAAGGUUGAAGCUGAAGUGGAUUGACGGGU
rnacentral:rRNA from 1 species